rnacentral:rRNA from 1 species
UACGCAGGGGGCUAGCGUUGCUCGGCAUCCCUGGGCGUAAAGCGCACGUAGGCGGACUCUUAAGUCGGUGGUGAAAUCCUGGAGCUCAACUCCAGAACUGCCUUCGAUACUGGGAGUCUCGAGUUCGGGAAAGGUGAGUGGAACUGCGAGUGUAGAGGUGAAAUUCGUAGAUAUUCGCAAGAACACCAGUGGCGAAGGCGGCUCACUGGCCCGAUACUGACGCUGAGGUGCGAAAGCGUGGGGAGCAAACAGG